ACUUUCCCUUUUUCUUUUCCGGCGCCUUUCUCUCGGUCUCCUCUCUCUCACUCCCUCAACCAAAUUCUUGCUACUCCACCAUCAAUCCUUGAAAAACCCACGCACAUCUCUUCAUCCUCGGCCCUCGGAUCGCGUGGGAAGAGCUCGGUGGAGGCAUAUUUCGGAUUUGGAGGCUAGGGUUUGGUUUGAGCUCAAAGCUUGGUCUUGAUACUUGAGGUACUCGCCAUGGCACUUAGCUUGGAUUGCAUGGAGUGCACAUUGAGACGUCUCUUGAGAGCUUCAUUGGAAUCAUUAAGGAGGUGUUUUAUCAUCUAGUUUAAUUCAUGUUGUGUACUUUACUCACAAUUGAAGGUUGUAUCUUUUGGUUAGAACAUAUGUAAAGCUAGGUAUAAACUCCUCUCUUUGAUUAUUGUGAAGCCCUUUUAAUGGAAUACGUUUGGGAGACUUUAUGUAAAAAAAAAAAAAAAAAAUUUAGAGAGAAGAAGAAGAAGAGACUUUGAUUCUUUGUUUGGAUUGGCUUGACAUUUAAUGGUAAAGAUAGUUGUGGAAAAA